CAGUGUUUGACAUGAACACAUCAGCACUGCUAUCAGUGAGCCUAACGACAGCCGUUAGCAUCGUUUCAGUGUUUCAGUCAUAAAAACACUUCCUGUCACUGUGGUGGUUACAGUGACAUCAUGCAGUUUGUGUUUUGACCUCGAGAGGGCGACAAAUCAGCACAGACAGAGAGCUCCAUUCAAACUUUGCUGCCAUCAGUAAUAAUUCUUCAAAUAUAAUCAUCAGUGUUUGAGCAGUUAUGAUAUCAGGGACAAUCUAGACAUGUGAGACAAUACUGAACAUGUCACAUGACACACCUUAAACAUCAUGUGAUCCAGUCUCCGUCUGCACUUUCAUUCAUAACUUCAACAGGUUGAAAUGAGCUUUUGAAGAACGCAGCGUUAGGUGUUUCCUUCCUGCUCAAAGUUUACUUUCACUUCCUGAACUUCGUGGAGUGGAGCUUGUUGUUGGUGUCUCUGUGUGAAGAAACUUUUCAGACGGAGAGCAGCUGAAGAAAAGCUCUGACUCCAACGUGAGAUGGACUCUGUGAUUCAUCACCUCCACCAGCAACACACUGACCUGCAUUCAUCCAUAGAUGACACUCAGGACCCUGGUUCCACAGCUGUUCUUGUUCACAGCAGCAUCCAGUUAGAGCGGAAACUGUAUAAUGCAAUGAUGAUGUUCCAGCGUCAUGUUGUUGCUCCUCCUCCACAUGCUUACCUGCCACAGUUUAACUCCGCCUCUCAGACAGUCAUGUCACCUGAUCUGCAUGUUUUGCUGUACGAUGACGUCAUCUUGACGUUGACGAGGAGGGCGAGAAAAACUAGUUUUGUCCUGCAGAUGGCGAUCUUGCACCGUGUUCAGAGAGCCGACACUAUGAUGAUGCUGCUCUACUCAACUUACUUUAGCCUGGGUUGGACUCUAUAUGAGCGGCUUCCACUCUGGUUUCACUGUUAAAUACACUUGUUUGAUUUCACUUGGAAAAGUUGAAAAAUACAUUUUUUAUUGCAAAAUUAUUUGUUGGUACAUUUUUUGAGGGUCAAAUAUCUUGUUUGAUUUGAGGAAUGAACUGUUAAGGUGGAAAAAAUGAAUCAUGUUAAAAUACUUUAAAUCAGUGCAGAUGUAUAAUGUAACUUAAAAUGUUGAUAAUGGUUGUAGUGGGCUUGUAAUGUAAAUGUGAUUAAAUGUGACAUUAAUGGUGACGCUGCAUAAACCUGAUAAAACAGUUCUAUUAGUGGGUCUGUGUGAUCAGCAUCAGUGGGUUAAGGUGAGGCCUUGACUAGUAGAACGUCAUGUUGGUGUAUGACAACACAUGAGCCAACAUCAGACUCCGAGCGCUACUGUCACGGGGUGGAAAUGGACAAGUUGCAUUGGGUUUUUAUUGUGCAUGUUUUGCUGUGUUUUACAUUUUAAUAUUUUAAUACUAUACAGUGGUUUAUUUUUAUGAGUUUUACUGCAUGUUUAUUGUAUUUAUUGGUGACUUGUCCGGAAAGACUCCGCCCCUCCCUGAUUAUGAACCAUAUACACCUGCGAGGUUCCCGGAGGCCAAUAAGAGGGCCUACCAGCCGACAAACAGGAAGGCCUGAGAGAGAGAAGCAGCAGUGAUGGCGAUCUAGAAGUGGCAGCUGACGGCCGCAAGCGGCGGCGGCGCCGGAGUUGGCGUCAGUGCGAGGCUGGGAGAGCUUGGCGUGAAGCGAGCCAGGAGGAUACAGCGCCGAUACGCAAGGACGCAGGGCGAGGUGUCCGACUGCUUCAGCAACUGGAGGCCAGAUUUCGCGUCUGCGGAAACUAGAGGCGGCGAGGCGGGCCGGUGCCGAUUGGCAAUUACAAAGAAGCAGCGGGCAGAGUUAAGAGCUCUGCCCACUCGGGGUAAGUCUUUUGACUUGUCCCCUUUAAUGAAUGAUAGCUGCCGAAAAGAGUAGUGACUGCCGCUGCCUUUCUUCCUUUAGCGCACCAGGGCGCAGAACGCGAAGAAGGAGACGAGGACGCCGCCGGGUUUCCCUCCUGCACCGCUUCACUGGAUUUUUAAAUUUUUAGUGACUUAGGGACUUUUAAUCUUGUGUUAUUGAUGUUUAUGGUGUGUUCUCCCCUGGCCAGGGCUGUUUUAAUCUAUUUUACAUUUUUUUUUACUGUUUAAAUGUAAUAAAUUAUAUUUUAUCUUUA